UACGUAGGGGGGCAAGCGUUGUCCGGAAUCAUUGGGCGUAAAGAGCGUGUAGGCGGUCCGUUAAGUCGGCUGUGAAAGUCCAAGGCUCAACCUUGGGAUGCCGGUCGAUACUGCCGGACUAGAGUUCGGAAGAGGCGAGUGGAAUUCCCGGUGUAGCGGUGAAAUGCGCAGAUAUCGGGAGGAACACCUAUGGCGAAGGCAGCUCGCUGGGACGUUACUGACGCUGAGACGCGAAAAGCGUGGGGGAGCAAAACAGG
rnacentral:rRNA from 1 species